UGCCAGACUCCUACGGGAGGCAGCAGUGGGGGAUAUUGCACAAUGGGGGGAACCCUGAUGCAGCGACGCCGCGUGAACGAAGAAAUAUUUCGGUAUGUAAAGUUCUCUCAGCAGGGAAGAAAAUGACAGUACCUGACCAAGAAGCCCCGGCUAACUACGUGCCAGCAGCCGCGGUAAUACGUAGGGGGCGAGCGUUAUCCGGGCUCACUGGGCGUAAAGGGGGCGCAGACGGCGAUGCAAGCCAGGAGUGAAAGCCCGGGGCCCAACCCCGGGACUGCUCUUGGAACUGCGUGGCUGGAGUGCAGGAGGGGCAGGCGGAAUUCCUGGUGUAGCGGUGAAAUGCGUAGAUAUCAGGAGGAACACCGGUGGCGAAGGCGGCCUGCUGGACUGCAACUGACGUUGAGGCCCGAAAGCGUGGGGAGCAAACAGGAUUAGAUACCCUCGUAUUC
rnacentral:rRNA from 1 species